rnacentral:sRNA from 1 species
GGUCGGGAGGGAGGAAGGUGGCAAGAUGGUGUUGGAAAGCACUAUGGUGUGUGUGGACAACAGUGAGUAUAUGCGGAAUGGAGACUUCUUGCCCACCAGGCUGCAGGCCCAGCAGGAUGCUGUCAACAUAGUUUGUCAUUCAAAGACCCGCAGCAACCCUGAGAACAACGUGGGCCUUAUCACACUGGCUAAGUAUGGGGGACAGAGGAGGAGGGGACUCAGUAGGUGGGUGGUUGUUACAUGCUACUCUUCUUUAGAUUCCAUGAAGCUGCUUUUGCCCAUCACCUUCCUAGACUGCCUUCUGCACUAUUUAGUGUAAAUGUCAAUAGCAACUUGUUUUUUGUAUUAACCUGAAUUUAAUGUAGUACGGAAGCUAAAUCUCCUGGGGUGAAAUUUCUGUUUCUUUUUAUUGUUUGUUGGGCAGGGCUAGGGUAGGGGGUGAAAUUUCAUAAUAUAUUUUAAAGUCAGUGAAAAGUGAUUUUGGGCUGGGCACAGUGGCUCAUGUCUGUAAUCCCAAGAGUUUGAUACCAGCCUGGGCAACAGCACAAAACCCUGUCUCUACUAAAAAUACAAAAAUUAGCCAGGCAUGGUGGUGGCUACCUGUAAUACCAGCUACUCAGGAGGCUGAGGCAGGAGAAUCGCUUGAACCCAGGAGGCGGAGGUUGCAGUGAGCCAAGAUCACACCACUGCACACCAGCUUGGGCGACAGAAUGAGACUCCAUUUCAAAAAAAAAGAAAAAAGUAAUUUUUGGAUCAGAGCCCCUGGGCAUAUAUCACUCAUCCUUUUACCCUGAAAGUGUU